AACAACAACAACAGCAACAACAACAGCAACAAAAUUUAAAAUUUAAAUAGCCUAUGACCCAGUAAUUCCACGUUGGUGAAUAUCAACCCAAAAGAAAUAAAGGUUCUAGCACUUUAACAUGUACAUGUAUACAAGUGCCUCCCAGGUUCAAGCGAUUCUCCUGCCUCNNNNNNNNNNCUGCCUCCCAGGUUCAAGCAAUUCUCCUGCCUCAGCCUCCUGAGUAGCUGGGAUUACAGGUGUGUGCCAUCACGCUUGGCUAAUUUUUGUAUUUCUAGUA
rnacentral:lncRNA from 1 species